CCCGCGGUAAUCCCCCGGCCCCGCUCCUUUGCCUCCGACGGUUUCCCCUUGUCCACACGCACCUUUAUCUCGUUCUCUCUCCCGUCGCCUGCGCUCAUCCUCCGCAGAAAAAAAAAAUCGAGAAAACAACCACCCAUGUCUGCGAUCUGCCUACUCCGCCCAUGACCAUGGCCGCCCCCGACGCAAUAGCUCAGCCCCACCCUUGCACACGGAUUCGGCCACGCCCAACCUGCCCUGCUCUAGCUGCCCGUUUAAUUUCACUGCCAAGAAACUACCGCCAUGGAGGUGCGCCCCUUCAUCAGAUCCAAUGAGGAGGUGCCUCGGCCAAAGAGAAAGCAGCCAGGCACUCGCCCUCCAUAAAUCCGGCGAGGAGGCGCAGUGCCCACAAUAGUGGUCGUGAUGGUGGCUAGGAGAGCUUGGCAACCAUCUACCUGGUGACACUGGAGGUGGAGAUCAGACGUUCGCCUAGCUGUGGACUUCGACAAGGUGCGUGUUUGUGAAGCUGCUGCCGCUGAUUCAGUACUGGGCUCAGAUGCGUCAAGAUUGGCGCGAAUGAUCAUACAUUGGCAGUUGAGGCAUGGAAGGGGCUCUAUCAGAGCAUCAGGUCAACAUAGAACACCAAUGGUAGAUGUGAUAUGUCAAGCCACAAAGAAGGAAAAAAGAGUGUUCAGAUACUGCUUAAUGCGAAAAUAGAGAUCACCGAGCUAGAAGGAAUGUCGAGGUUCGUGCCCAUGCCCAUCGUCCUCGCCUGAUGCUCGCACUACACCGCUGACUGUACCAAAUGCACACUGGGUGCCCGCGCUCAAGGCCCAACGUGACAUGCUCGACGCCGCCAUCAAGGAGAUCGUUCAUCUAGGCAUCCGAAAGUUUUCUGUGAUUUUCUAGCCAAUUAUGAGAUUGAGAUGCAACAGUAUCAAGUUGACUUUAUAGUUCUACCUUUUUAUGUGGUGCAAACCUGAAAUAACUUGGAAUAUUUGUAUCUCUAAAUAAAUUUAUUAAAAAACUAGAUUCAAGGAUCUCUCUGAUGAUACUAA